rnacentral:rRNA from 1 species
UACGGAGGGGGCUAGCGUUGCUCGGAAUUACUGGGCGUAAAGCGCACGUAGGCGGAUUGUUAAGUCGGGGGUGAAAUCCUGGAGCUCAACUCCAGAACUGCCUUCGAUACUGGCGAUCUCGAGUUCGGGAGAGGUGAGUGGAACUGCGAGUGUAGAGGUGAAAUUCGUAGAUAUUCGCAAGAACACCAGUGGCGAAGGCGGACUCACUGGCCCGGU